GUGAAAUUCCGUCGGAAUCUGGGAGGACCAUCUCCUAAGGCUAAAUACUCUCUAGUGACCGAUAGUGAACCAGUACCGUGAGGGAAAGGUGAAAAGCACCCCGGAAGGGGAGUGAAAUAGAACCUGAAACCGUGUGCUUACAAGUAGUCAGAGCCCGUUAAUGGGUGAUGGCGUGCCUUUUGUAGAAUGAACCGGCGAGUUACGAUUUGAUGCAAGGUUAAGCAGUAAAUGUGGAGCCGUAGCGAAAGCGAGUCUGAAUAGGGCGUUUAGUAUUUGGUCGUAGACCCGAAACCAGGUGAUCUACCCUUGGUCAGGUUGAAGUUCAGGUAACACUGAAUGGAGGACCGAACCGACUUACGUUGAAAAGUGAGCGGAUGAACUGAGGGUAGCGGAGAAAUUCCAAUCGAACCUGGAGAUAGCUGGUUCUCUCCGAAAUAGCUUUAGGGCUAGCCUCAAGUGAUGAUUAUUGGAGGUAGAGCACUGUUUGGACGAGGGGCCCCUCUCGGGUUACCGAAUUCAGACAAACUCCGAAUGCCAAUUAAUUUAACUUGGGAGUCAGAACAUGGGUGAUAAGGUCCGUGUUCGAAAGGGAAACAGCCCAGACCACCAGCUAAGGUCCCAAAAUAUAUGUUAAGUGGAAAAGGAUGUGGCGUUGCCCAGACAACUAGGAUGUUGGCUUAGAAGCAGCCAUCAUUUAAAGAGUGCGUAAUAGCUCACUAGUCGAGUGACACUGCGCCGAAAAUGUACCGGGGCUAAACAUAUUACCGAAGCUGUGGAUUGUC
rnacentral:rRNA from 1 species